CAUAUUGAGCGACUGUUUUUGUAU
rnacentral:siRNA from 1 species